rnacentral:rRNA from 1 species
GACGAACGCUGGCGGCGUGCUUAACACAUGCAAGUCGAACGGAAAGGCCCUGCUUUUGUGGGGUGCUCGAGUGGCGAACGGGUGAGUAACACGUGAGUAACCUGCCCUUGACUUUGGGAUAACUUCAGGAAACUGGGGCUAAUACCGGAUAGGAGCUCCUGCUGCAUGGUGGGGGUUGGAAAGUUUCGGCGGUUGGGGAUGGACUCGCGGCUUAUCAGCUUGUUGGUGGGGUAGUGGCUUACCAAGGCUUUGACGGGUAGCCGGCCUGAGAGGGUGACCGGCAAAAUUGGGAAUGAGAAACGGCCAAGAAUCCUACGGGAGGAAGCAGGGGGGAAUAUUGAAAAAUGGGCGGAAGCCUGAUGCAGCAACGCCGCGUGGGGGAUGAGGGCCUUCGGGUGGUAAACCGCUUUCGCCGGUGAAGAAGGGUGAGUGACGGUAAUGGGUAAAGAAGCACCGGCUAACUACGUG